UCGUACAAUCGAGGUGCAAGGGCUGUCGCUGACUUUUCGUCGUGCACGCCCGAGCGCUCUCACACAAUCCAUCUCACCCCUAUGUGCACCACCGCGUGGGUCUCUCUUUGAAGGGGGGCUCGCGUUUUCACACAAACUUGAAGUAGUGUAGAAUGUCUUUUUUUUGCGAUGACACGCAAUCAAUA
rnacentral:misc_RNA from 1 species